rnacentral:rRNA from 1 species
UACGAAGGGGGCAAGCGUUGUUCGGAAUUACUGGGCGUAAAGGGCGCGUAGGCGGCUUAUCAAGUCAGGCGUGAAAUUCCCGGGCUCAACCUGGGGGCUGCGCUUGAUACUGAUGAGCUUGAAUGCGGGAGAGGAUAGUGGAAUUCCCAGUGUAGAGGUGAAAUUCGUAGAUAUUGGGAAGAACACCGGUGGCGAAGGCGGCUAUCUGGCCCGUAAUUGACGCUGAGGCGCGAAAGCCAGGGGAGCAAACGGG